GAUGAACGCUGGCGGCGUGCCUAAUACAUGCGAGUCGAGCGAACAGACGAGGAGCUUGCUCCUCUGACGUUAGCGGCGGACGGGUGAGUAACACGUGGAUAACCUACCUAUAAGACUGGGAUAACUUCGGGAAACCGGAGCUAAUACCGGAUAAUAUAUUGAACCGCAUGGUUCAAUAGUGAAAGACGGUUUUGCUGUCACUUAUAGAUGGAUCCGCGCCGCAUUAGCUAGUUGGUAAGGUAACGGCUUACCAAGGCGACGAUGCGUAGCCGACCUGAGAGGGUGAUAGGCCACACCGGAACUGAGACACGGUCCAGACUCCUACGGGAGGCAGCAGUAGGGAAUCUUCCGCAAUGGGCGAAAGCCUGACGGAGCAACGCCGCGUGAGUGAUGAAGGUCUUCGGAUCGUAAAACUCUGUUAUUAGGGAAGAACAAAUGUGUAAGUAACUAUUCACGUCUUGACGGUACCUAAUCAGAAAGCCACGGCUAACUACGUG
rnacentral:rRNA from 1 species